rnacentral:rRNA from 1 species
UACGAGGGGGGCAAAUGUUGUUCGGAAUCACUGGGCGUAAAGGGAGCGUAGGCGGGUUCUUAAGUAAGGUGUUUAAUCCCGGGGCCCAACCCCGGACCGGCACUUUAAACUGGGAAUCUUGAAUAGUGGAGAGGUCGGUGGAAUUGGGGGUGUAGCGGUGGAAUGCGAGAGAUCCCCAAGAACACCAGUUGCGAAGGCGGCCGACUGGACACAUAUUGACGCUGAGGCUCGAAAGCAUGGGGAGCAAACAGG